rnacentral:rRNA from 1 species
UACCAGCACCCCGAGUGGUCGGGACGUUUAUUGGGCCUAAAGCAUCCGUAGCCGGUUCUGCAAGUCUUCCGUUAAAUCCACCUGCUUAACAGAUGGGCCGCGGAAGAUACUAUAGAGCUAGGAGGCGGGAGAGGCAAGCGGUACUCGAUGGGUAGGGGUAAAAUCCGUUGAUCCAUUGAAGACCACCAGUGGCGAAGGCGGCUUGCCAGAACGCGCUCGACGGUGAGGGAUGAAAGCUGGGGGAGCAAACCGGA